rnacentral:lncRNA from 1 species
UUGUAUCAAAUGCAUCAAGCACAACACAAAACAUUUCCUUGUAACUCUUUCACAUAUUCGUUUCUUCUACCUUAAAAAAUGUCGUCCAAGGCAGAUCUUGAAAAAAUAGGAAAGGAAGGUUUCGCCAUACUCGAUGCAUAUUAUGAAAAAAGCAUGAGGCGUAAUCCACCAAAACCAAAUUCACAAGAAACAAAACCAAAUUCACAACAAACAAAACCAAAUUCACAAGAAACUAGAAGGUCCUGUUUUUACCAAUACCUAACAUGCUCUUGUUUAUCAGGCAAAACCAGAAGAGAAUAUUAAUUGGUAUGAGGUGUUGCAGUUUAACGAAGGUCUAAUGGUCAAGGAUUAUAGGAGGAAAUCUCAAGCUAUGGCUUAGACUCUCUCUUAUGCACUGUGUUUUAUAUGUAAUAGGAUAUAUAUAGGCACAGAUAAGUAUGCUCCUUUUGUAUGACACAAAAGUGUCAGUUGUAUGAAUACUAGUCAUCUGGAAGUUUUUAAAGGUAUGGAUGAAGUCUGUAACACUUUUUUAUAUGUAUUGAAGCGAUAUCAGAUGUAGUAAUAUCGCUUUUUUAUUAUUAUUAGUCUAAAAUUUAUGGAAUUGAAAAGUUCUCUGAAAGAAGCCUCACAAGAACAUAGGUCACUUCGUUCAGAUUUUUCUUAGCUACUUUUUCCUCCCAUCAUGCAUUCAGAUAUAUAAAGGGUUUCACUUUGUAUCAAAUGCAUCAUGAACAACACAAAACAUUUCCUUAACUUCUUCAUACUUCUUUCUUGUAAAAAAAUGUCAUACAAGGCAGAUCUUGCAAGAAUAGGAAAUGAAGCCUUCGACUUACACGAAGACCGAAGCAUAUCCCAGAAAAAAGAUGGCGACUAAUUCACAAGAACCUAAACUGCAUGUCUUUACCACUACCAAUCACAACAGGCUCGUGUUUAUCAAGUAAAAUAAGAUGAGAUUGAUAUGAGGUGUUGCAGUUUCGCAAAGGGUGAUGUUUAAGGAUUAUAUGAGGAAAUCUCAAUCUAUGGCUUAUUACUAUCUUGCACUGUGUUUAUAUAUAUAUAUAUAUAUAUAUAUAUAUAUAUGCUCUCUUGGUAUGACAAAAGUGGAGUAACUUGUGUAUGUACUAGUCACCUGGCAAUUUUAAGGGUUUUAAUUUUUAGCCCCUAUUUGGCUCAAAUUUUAAUCAAACAAUCAAUAUUAAUCACAUCUUUUAUGUGCCCCUCAAUUUUUCAACCACAUAUUUCAAAAAUUUCUAUCAAAAUCUACGAAGUACUUGUUUGGUACAGAUUUUAAGUCAACUAAAAUCAAUUUUUUGAUCGUUAUUUCAUUAUUUCAGCCGUUAUUUUUGAAUUUUUCUCUCACAGAUAAGACCCAUUUUAUCUCUAACGAUCAAAAAAUUAAUUAUCAAAAUCUCUACCAGACAAGCAUUAAAAAUCUAAUUUUAAUCCAACCACCAUCUUAAUACCAUAAUUAAAAAAAAAAAAAAAAAAAAAAAAAAGAGUCAAAAUCUAAAUUUAAGUCAAAAUGCCAAGCUUAAAAAAAAAAAAAAAAAAAUGGAGAACAAAGAAAGUUAAAAGGGCAAGGUUAGGCAGGGUCUGUACAAGCUAUACACAAUACUAGGGGGUGGGGUAAUUUUUAUUUUUUUUUUAAAUAAUCAUCCACCCCCCAUGUUAUACAGCAGGCAAUUUCCAGGUUAAAAAGUUAGGCGUAGACACAUGGGACCUCUUUAAACAUUUGAUAUAUCCAAAUCUAAAUUGAAUUCAAAAGCCAUUACAUACAUACAUACAUACAUACAUACGUACACAAAACAUAUACAGAGAGAAGCCGAGAAUGGAGAGAGAAAAGAGGAAAGAAAGAAGAAAGAGGAAAGAAAGAAGAGGAGGUAAAUAAAACAAAAAGAAAUAGGAAGUUGCCAACGUGAUUAGAAAAUAAGUGUUUUCUACUAUUAAACUUAAAUUCCUCACUUUGACAAGUAAAAUAUUACUUAUUCAGAAGUUAUGUUAAAUUUUAGAUUUAUUAGAUUAUUAGUUUAAAUUCAAUUUUAUUAAAGGAAGCUGUUGGAUUAAGUAUAAUAAGCGACGAAAUUAAGUUAAAGGGAAGAAAAAAUAGCUUCAAUAAUGAAAGAAAUUGGGAAAAUUGCUUAAGUAUAAAAAGAUUAAGAUUUAAUAUCGCGUAAUUAAUUAUUAUAGUUACUUGAAAUGGUUAAUUGUUAAUCUAAGGUCUCGUUUGGUACCCAUUUUUUUCAACCACACAUUAUUUAUUAAAAUAAUAUUACACAUAAAUAAAAAAAAAUUUCUUUAUUUUUCAACCACACAUUUUCUAUCAAUUUACUAUUAUAAAAUGUAUUUUUACAUAAAAAUGGCUCUCAAAUAGGGCUGGACAAUUCUCCCGAACCGAACCGACCGAACCAAACUCGACAGUUCUUGUCAAAUUAAAUACUCAAACAGGUAUCUAAAUUGAGAAUCGACGGGUACGGUUCGGUUCUCGGUUCUAGAUCAAGAACCAAAGAAUCGAAUAAGAACCGAAUCUUUCUAAUUUUUUUAUAUUGAAUAAAUCAAAUUAUUUUAAUUUUAAUUUUUUAAACAAAUUAACAAUUUCUAAAUUCAAAAUUUUGACCCAAUUAUCCAUUUUAUUGUUUCAUUUCUUAACCCAAUAAAGAUCCAACCCACUAAAUAACCCUAAAUACCUAUACUAAAGUAUAUAACGCUGUCUCGACUCUCGCACUCAGUCUCGCAGCCUCACUCACAUUCCAAAAUCUAUACAACCGCCGACUGACAUGUGACCUCCAAUCGAAGCUGUGACCUCCGCCGAUCGAAACUUUGACCAAAGUGAUUGUUUGAACAAUGUAGUCUACUGGUCUCUGACAUUCCAAAACCAUUGAAUGUGUCAUUAGUUGUAUUUAUGUAAUGUUAUUAUAAAUGUUAAAAAAUUUAAUUAUAAUACGGAACCGAACCCGAACGGUUCCAUAAUUAUAUUUGAAUCCGACGGUUCCAUUUACUUGAUACCCGAAAAUUUUGGUUCGGUUCGGAUAUCUUUAGAACUGAACCUGAACCGACCUGUGCCCACCUCUACUCUCAAACACCCCCUAAAUACUAUAUCAUAUUUCAAGCGGCAAUAUGGGUAAUUGGACAGCUUACCAACCUAGUAGAUUUUGAGUACAUAAUUCGAUGAGUGGAAAAACAUAAAUAUUUUCAAUGGUUGCUAAUUUAAUUUUACUAUUAUAUUAUGUGCAAUUAUGUACAAUUAUAUGUUGGAUUACAUAAAGUUUCUUUUAUUAUGAUACAUAAGGAAUUUAAAGAUUGUAUAUGAUACAUUUGUGAAUUGGAAUAUAAGACAUAAUGUGAUAUUGAGAUCGAUCAAAAAAGUACAUUGAUUAAACUUUCAAAGUAUGCUCAAAUUCUAGUUAGCAAUGAAAUUGACAAAUGCCCGACCGUGGGGAUUUGUGGACAAAUUUCUGGGGCGGAUUUGGCUUUUUAUGUAGAAAAUAUGGCCUUGCUGCAAUCAAUGUUGUGGAUGCAUUUCUUGUGUAAAUUGAAAGAUCGAGAAGCAAUGGAAGUAUUUCUUGUAACGGAUUGGUUAAAGCCAAGUCACUGAUGGAUCCACUGAAUAUUUUUAAGCACAAGCAAGGUAUUUUUCCAAUGCCUCCAGAUGAUGGCAGAUCAAAUUUGAAGAAUGAGGCAUAUGCAAAAGAUUUAUGUAAUCCACUAAAAAUUUAUCGUAAGUAAAGUUUAACUUCUUGUUGGUUCGUAACCCCUGAAAGUAACUUUUUAAAAUUCCAGUGUGUUCGACAAAAAACGUUACAGAAAAGUAACUUUACAUUUAAUCAUGUACUCACUUUCUUAAAUACUGUUUGGUCAAUGAUAUUGUUGUGAUCUUCAAAUCUUCGUGUCAACUUUAGAACUAAUGGAUGUAACUUUUACUAGGGCACCUUUUAGUGUUUAAAUUUUCUUUAACAAGCAGUUUAACAAGAGUUUCAUAAUGGUUUAGGUAAGGGAUCAGAUUCAGAUUAGACUAAACAUUUUAAUGAUUAGUGUGCAUAAUAUGGAAUAUUAGAUAUGAAUUUUUUUUGGUUAGUUCAGUUAAUAAUUGUCACUUCUAAUAGAAUCAUAUUCCAUUGAAUAAAUAAAGGGUUCUCAUGCCCCUCAUAGGGUAGUUGAGUUGGUGGAGUAGGUGAGCGCGGAGUCCUUUAAUCACGAGUUCGAUUCUGCCUACCAGCACUUUUUCAGUCGAGCUUGUCGUACCAGACUUAUAGCAGCAGUGGGAUGGCAAUAACUAAAACUUCAAUACCUAAUGCGGUUUACCUGGUUAGCGUAGUUUGCAGGUUAUUAUGUCAAUUCAAGAGUUUACCCAGUGCGCACCCGAAGGGUAGUGAUUGCGGUUUCCCCAUCAUAGAAAAAAUAAAUAAAUAAAGGGUUCUCAUACUAUGUUGACACGCAAAGUAACUAGAACUAUAUUUAGGAUGGCUUCAGUAGGGAUGAAAUGAAUUAAUUCCUUCAAAAUUUUCUUUAACGCGUCACUCAUGUCAAUGGAAAAUUCAUUUUAAUCAUGAAAUGCCCUCAUUGACGUGAAAUAAUUUUAAAGUAGUGUAGGUGAAACUUGGUUACGAGAUCUUUUCUAAUCUUUCUUCAAUAUCUAUGAACAAAUAACCAUAUAUUUGCCAGGUAGAGGAACUGAGAAUGCUUUGGAAAGAAAGCAUGACGCAGUAUAUGCUUUAGAAUCUUAAUUAUUUGGAGAGAAGAUAAGGGUUCAAUUUUUUUGGAUAUACAAUAAUAUUUCAAUGCUCGUACCAAUGUUAACGGUAUUACUCAUUUUUCUGUUCUUUAAAUUCGUAAGUUAAUAGAUCAAGAUAUGUUAUAGAUUAAGUCCUAAUUUCUUCCUACAAAGUAAUAUUAUGGACAAUGAACAUGAAAAAACAACUGAAUCCAAAAAAAAAAAAAAAUUAUAUGUUCAUUCUCAUUAUGAGAGUCAUGUUCGCUAGCUGAGUUUUCGAUACAAAAUUUUUCCGAUGCUUCUCCUACUCUCAAAACCAGCUCCCUGAAAAUAUUACGGUAAGUUUAUACACAUUUUAUUAGAUUCCGUGCUAUGAACAAGAGAAAGCUUCCCUCAGCCGAAGUGAGUGAAAAAUAGAAUAGAAGGAAAUAAAAGAUUGAUUGCAAUGUCCAACAAUAUAUGAACAAUUUUCUGAAAUUUUUGAGCUUAUUGCAUCUGAUCAUUUGCUGUUAAUGCUAUCAUGUAGUAAUCCUAGUUUGUUGUUGAAGUUAUCCUAUUAGGUAAAUCGAAUCCGUCAAAUGUUUUGAAGGAUAAAGCAAACAGAGUAACGCUAUUUUCUAGUGCUUUUCUCUAAGAAUAUUAAUCUCGAAAUUAUUGACUGCGAAAGUGCCAAACACACAUCUCUGAGAGGAAUCUCACAAGAUAGGAAUCCACAGGCCACUAUUUUUUUAAAUUUUUAUUUGCUAGCUUGUCCUCCCACUUGACAUUGAGCUUUCUAUAUAAAGGGCUGUCACUUGUAUCAAGUGCAUCAAGAACAACACAAAACAUUUCCCUGUAGCUCCUUCACUUACUCAUUUCUUCUACCUUAAAAAAUGUCGUCCAAGGCAGAUCUUGCAAGAAUAGGAAAGGAAGGCUUCGCCAUACUUGAUGCAUAUUAUGGAAGAAACAAGAGGCCUAAUCCACCAAAACCUUAUUCACAAGAAACUAGGAGGUCCUUUUUUCACCAAUACCAACCACAACAGGCUCUUGUUUAUCAGGUAAAACCAGAUGAGAAUAUUAAUUGCUAUGAGGUGUUGCAGUUUAAUGAAGAUGGAAUGGUCAAGGAUAAUAGGAGGAAAUCUUAAGCUAUGGCUUAGACUCUCUUUUGCACUGUGUUUUAUAUGUAAUACGAUGUAUAUAGGCACAGAUAAGUAUGCUCCCUUUAUAUGACACAAAAGUGGAGCCAGUUGUAUAAAUACUAGUCUUCUGGAAGUUUUAAGGGUAUGGAUGAAAGUUUGUAACACUUUGUUAUAUGUAUUGAAGUGAUAUUAGAUGUAGUAAUAUUACAUUUUCUAUUAUAAUUAGUCUAAAAUUUAUGGAUUUGAAAAGUUCUCUAAAAGGAGCCUCACAAGAACAUAGGC